GGCUACAGCCAUGCCACCUUGAACAAGCCCAAUCCUGUCUGAUCUCGGAAGCUAAGCAGGGUCAGGCCUGGUUAGUACUUGGAUGAGAGACCAUGUAGGAAGACCAGGUGCUAUAGGUG
rnacentral:rRNA from 1 species